UCUUCCUAUGAUGAUAAAUGUGAUCCCAGCUCAUUACGAGACCUUCACUAUUUGAGGGUCAGGGAAUAUACCUACCUACAUUCAUCUGAGUCCGAAGC